UACGGAGGGUGCGAGCGUUUGUCCGGAAUCAUUGGGCGUAAAGGGCGCGUAGGUGGCUUCUCAAGCGUGCGGUGAAAGCCUGGGGCUCAACCCCGGGUCGGCCGUGCGAACUGGGGGGCUGGAGCACUGUAGAGGCAGGCGGAAUUCCGGGUGUAGCGGUGGAAUGCGUAGAGAUCCGGAAGAACACCGGUGGCGAAGGCGGUCACUGGGCAGUGCUGACACUGAGGCG
rnacentral:rRNA from 1 species